UGUGGGAGCGGGCUUGCUCGCGAAAGCGGUGGUUCAGCCACUACAUCUGGUGGCUGGCACGCCGCCAUCGCGAGCAAGCUCGCUCCUACA
rnacentral:misc_RNA from 1 species